AGUGAACGCUGGCGGUAGGCCCAACACAUGCAAGUCGAACGGCAGCACAGUAAGAGCUUGCUCUUACGGGUGGCGAGUGGCGGACGGGUGAGGAAUACAUCGGAAUCUACUUUUUCGUGGGGGAUAACGUAGGGAAACUUACGCUAAUACCGCAUACGACCUACGGGUGAAAGCAGGGGAUCUUCGGACCUUGCGCGAUUGAAUGAGCCGAUGUCGGAUUAGCUAGUUGGCGGGGUAAAGGCCCACCAAGGCGACGAUCCGUAGCUGGUCUGAGAGGAUGAUCAGCCACACUGGAACUGAGACACGGUCCAGACUCCUACGGGAGGCAGCAGUGGGGAAUAUUGGACAAAGGGCGCAAGCCUGAUCCAGCCAUACCGCGUGGGUGAAGAAGGCCUUCGGGUUGUAAAGCCCUUUUGUUGGGAAAGAAAAGCAGCAGGUUAAUACCCCGCUGUUCUGACGGUACCCAAAGAAUAAGCACCGGCUAACUUCGUG
rnacentral:rRNA from 1 species